AUUGAACGCUGGCGGCAUGCUUUACACAUGCAAGUCGAACGGCAGCACGGGCUUCGGCCUGGUGGCGAGUGGCGAACGGGUGAGUAAUGCAUCGGAACGUACCGUGUAAUGGGGGGAUAACGUAGCGAAAGUUACGCUAAUACCGCAUACGCCCUGAGGGGGAAAGCGGGGGAUCGUAAGACCUCGCGUUAUACGAGCGGCCGAUGUCGGAUUAGCUAGUUGGUGGGGUAAAGGCCUACCAAGGCGACGAUCCGUAGCGGGUCUGAGAGGAUGAUCCGCCACACUGGGACUGAGACACGGCCCAGACUCCUACGGGAGGCAGCAGUGGGGAAUUUUGGACAAUGGGCGCAAGCCUGAUCCAGCCAUGCCGCGUGAGUGAAGAAGGCCUUC
rnacentral:rRNA from 1 species